rnacentral:rRNA from 1 species
UACGUAGGGGGCUAGCGUUGUCCGGAUUUAUUGGGCGUAAAGAGCGUGUAGGCGGCCAGGUAGGUCCGCUGUGAAAGUCCGAGGCUCAACCUCGGAAUGUCGGCGGAAACCCUCUGGCUAGAGUCCGGAAGAGGCGAGUGGAACUCCUGGUGUAGCGGUGGAAUGCGCAGAUAUCAGGAAGAACACCAACGGCGAAGGCAGCUCGCUGGGACGGUACUGACGCUGAGACGCGAAAGCGUGGGGAGCGAACAGG